rnacentral:lncRNA from 1 species
AUGUCCCCGAGUGUCCCCGAGCGGCCCUGCAAUGUCCCCGAAUGUCCCCGGUAUGUCCCCGAGCGGCCCCGGAACAGCACCGGUACGGCACCGAGUGCCCCCGGUACGGCCCCAGUACGGCACCGGGCGGCACCGAGUGUCCCCGCGAUGUCCCCGAAUGUCCCCGGUAUGUCCCCGGUAUGUCCCCGAGUGGCCCCAGUACGGCACCGAGCGGCCCCGGUACGGCACCGAGUGUCCCCGGAACGGCACCGAGCGGCCCCGCAAUGUCCCCGAAUGUCCCCGGUACGUCCCCGAGCGGCCCCGGAGCGGCACCGGGCGGCCCCGCGAUGUCCCCGAAUGUCCCCGCUAUGUCCCCGAGCGGCCCCGGAACGGCACCGAGUGGCCCCGGAAUGUCCCCGAGUGUCCCCAGUACGGCACCGGGCGGCACCGGUACAGCACCGGGCGGCCCCGGAGCGGCCCCGGAACGGCACCGAGUGUCCCCGGAGCGGCACCGGAACGGCACCGGGCGGCCCCGCGAUGUCCCCGAGUGUCGCGGCCACCCCGCAAUGUCCCCGAGCAGCCCCGGUAUGUCCCCGAGCGGCCCCGGAACGGCACCGGGCGGCCCCAGUAUGUCCCCGAGUGUCCCCGGUAUGUCCCCGGUAUGUCCCCGAGCAGCCCCGCAACGGCACCGAGUGUCCCCGGUACGGCACCGGGCGGCCCCGCGAUGUCCCCGAGUGUCGCGACCACCCCAGAAUGUCCCCGAGCAGCCCCGGAACGUCCCCGAGCGGCCCCGGAAUGUCGCCGAGUGUCGCGACUGCUCCGGAAUGUCCCCGAGGGUCGAGGGUCGAGGCGGCCCCGGAAUGUCCCCAAGUGUCCCCGCAAUGUCCCCGAGUGUCGCGGCCACCCCGGCCUGUCCCCGGCCUGUCCCCGUCCCUCGCCGUGCCCUGGGGAAUGGGUGCGGAGCUGCCCUCACCCCGCCGUGUCCCCAAAUCCCUCUGCAGCCGCUUCUGCUGCUUAAUUAAUCGUGUUAAUGAUCGUGCAGCGUCCAGCUGUGCCCCGUCCCCGUCCCUGUCGCUGUCGCUGCCACCUCUCCCUGUUUUUGCUGGAAUUAUGGAAUGUGCUCCAUUGGCAGUUCGUUACCGCCUCUGUUUAAUUAACUUCAGUCGUGUCGCCGCUGUCGUGGCCCGUCCCGGGGCCCGUCCCGGGGCCCUCCCCCGUCCCCUCCUGCAGCUGCCCGGAAAAACAACCCGGGAUUUCCGUGAGGCCUUUGGCUUCAUCGCGGGUUAA